GUUCAUUAGAGGAAGUAAAAGUCGUAACAAGGUUUCCGUAGGUGAACCUGCGGAAGGAUCAUUACCUAGAGUUUAGGCUUUGCCUGCUAUCUCUUACCCAUGUCUUUUGAGUACCUUCGUUUCCUCGGCGGGUCCGCCCGCCGAUUGGACAAUACUUAAACCCUUUGUAAUUGAAAUCAGCGUCUGAAAAACUUUAAUAGUUACAACUUUCAACAACGGAUUCAACACGGAUCUCUUGGUUCUGGCAUCGAUGAAGAACGCAGCGAAAUGCGAUAAGUAGUGUGAAUUGCAGAAUUCAGUGAAUCAUCGAAUCUUUGAACGCACAUUGCGCCCCUUGGUAUUCCAUGGGGCAUGCCUGUUCGAGCGUCAUUUGUACCUUCAAGCUUUGCUUGGUGUUGGGUGUUUGUCUCGCCUCUGCGCGCAGACUCGCCUCAAAACAAUUGGCAGCCGGCGUAUUGAUUUCGGAGCGCAGUACAUCUCGCGCUUUGCACUCAUAACGACGACGAUCCAAAAGUACAUUUUUACACUCUUGACCUCGGAUCAGGUAGGGAUACCCGCUGAACUUAAGCAUAUCAAUAGGGGGG
rnacentral:rRNA from 1 species